UCUAGAGAUUACUCCUACGGGAGGCAGCAGUGGGGGAUAUUGGACAAUGGGCGGAAGCCUGAUCCAGCCAUGCCGCGUGUGUGAAGAAGGCCUUUUGGUUGUAAAGCACUUUCAGCGAGGAGGAAAGGUGGUUGGCUAAUACCCAAUCGCUGUGACGUUACUCGCAGAAGAAGCACCGGCUAACUCCGUGCCAGCAGCCGCGGUAAUAAUCGUCGAC
rnacentral:rRNA from 1 species